GCACAGUCCCAGGCCCCAGGGCGAAGGCGGCCAGGGGAAAUGGGGCUCAGGGAUUGCUAAGCAAAAGCAUCAUUGGUGGUCUCCAGCGCCUGCGGAGGCAGUGCCUGAUGGCUGAGAAGAAUUGCAGAGGAGUAGAAAAGGUUUGAGUCUGAAAUUUUCUGACGCAGAGAAUUACAGCUCCGCAAUAAGUUAUCGCGAAACAGUUCAACUCGCGUAUUAACAACAACAACAACAGCGGCAACAACACGCUUAUUCCUAGCUGGAGCACCAAGCUUAUGAAGAUUCCAAAUAGGACUUUAUUGUUGACCCUUGUUGAAGAGAACUCCACUUGGCUUCUUUCCUGGCUUUCCUAAAUUGUUCACAUACAAGAUAAACUACCAUCGCUCAGACUUACGGAAGUGAGAAGGCAAGCUGAACCAAAUGUAAAAUGAUAGCAAUUUACAGAUGUCAGAACUAACAAAUGGAUGAACUUAGCGAUGGAGAAGAAAGCUGGGCAUUUCCAAAGAACUGCAUAGCACUACUGAACUUUGUUGCAUAUUUUAUGGUGACUGUAAAACUCCUUUGCUUGCUUACUUUUAAAUGCAAUGUGUUGCUAUACAUAUGUACAACCAGACACUAUUGCCUUCUGAGGCUAAUCCAGGCCAUUUUUAUAACCUAAUGCAGUAGCGUUUUGCAAUUAGAUGAAGGUCAAUGGGAUUUCUUUUCGUGAUGAUUAAAAUGUGUCAGGAGAAAAAAAUCCAGACAGUACUCCAAGUGAAAAAUA